UGGCUCAGUUGGUAGAGCAUGGUGUUUGCAACGCCAGGGUUGUGGGUUUGAUUUCCAC
rfam:Salmo salar isolate Sally breed double haploid chromosome ssa26, whole genome shotgun sequence.